CGCUGAGGACGGCCGAUAGCGGGAUCUUUCCGCCGUGGUGUCCCCCUACUCCCGCUAGUCGUGGUGUGGCUGCUUCGUCUAGAGGUGGUAUCGGCAGCUCUGCGUUCAUGCGACUGCAGCUACGAUACUCCGAUUCGCUUAUCUCAGGAGCAUGAUUUACGUUGCUGCUCGCAUCAGUGUUCUGCAGGGCUUUUUCUGGCUGCUUUGUGUGCACUUGUUAUUCUUGAAGGUAAGAAACUUUAUUUAAUUCUUAAUAAUAUUCUAACAGCAA
rnacentral:lncRNA from 1 species